AUACGAGGGGUGCUAGCGUUGUUCGGAAUUAUUGGGCGUAAAGCGCGCGUAGGCGGACCAUCAAGUUGGGCGUGAAAGCCCUGGGCUCAACCCAGGAAUUGCGCUCGAAACUGGUGGACUAGAGUCCGGGAGAGGAUAGUGGAAUUCCCAGUGUAGAGGUGAAAUUCGUAGAUAUUGGGAAGAACACCAGUGGCGAAGGCGGCUAUCUGGACCGGUACUGACGCUGAGGUGCGAAAGCGUGGGGAGCAAACAGGAUUAGAAACCCCAGUAGUCC
rnacentral:rRNA from 1 species